rnacentral:rRNA from 1 species
GACGAACCGUGCGAACGUUGUUCGGAAUCACUGGGCUUAAAGGGCGCGUAGGCGGGCGACAAAGUCUGGGGUGAAAUCCUUCGGCUCAACCGGAGAAUUGCCUUGGAUACUGGUCGUCUUGAGGGAGGUAGGGGCAUGUGGAACUUCCGGUGGAGCGGUGAAAUGCGUUGAUAUCGGAAGGAACGCCGGUGGCGAAAGCGACGUGCUGGAUCUCUUCUGACGCUGAGGCGCGAAAGCUAGGGGAGCAAACGGG